CCUACGGGAGGCAGCAGUAGGGAAUAUUGGACAAUGGGUGAGAGCCUGAUCCAGCCAUGCCGCGUGCAGGAAGAAGGCGUUAUGCGUUGUAAACUGCUUUUGCCAGGGGAUAAAACGGUUCUGCGGAACUAAUUGAAGGUACCUGGUGAAUAAGCCACGGCUAACUACGUGCCAGCAGCCGCGGUAAU
rnacentral:rRNA from 1 species